UGGGGAAUAUUGGGCAAUGGGCGAAAGCCUUACCCAGCAACGCCGCGUGAGGGAAGAAGGUUUUCGGAUUGUAAACCUCUGUCCUGGGGGACGAAGGAAGUGACGGUACCCCGGGAGGAAGCCCCGGCUAACUACGUGCCAGCAGCCGCGGUAAUACGUAGGGGGCGAGCGUUGUCCGGAAUUAUUGGGCGUAAAGGGCGCGUAGACGGCCGAGUAAGUUAUAGGUGAAAGCCCAUCUUUCAAGGAUGGAAUUGCCUGUAAUACUGCCUGGCUUGAGUGCAGGAGAGGGAAGCGGAAUUCCUAGUGUAGCGGUGAAAUGCGUAGAUAUUAGGAGGAACACCAGUGGCGAAGGCGACUUCUGGACUGUAACUGACGUUGAGGCGCGAAAGCGUGGGGAGCAAACAGGAUUAGAUACC
rnacentral:rRNA from 1 species